rnacentral:rRNA from 1 species
GACGAACGCUGGCGGCGUGCUUAACACAUGCAAGUCGAACGGAAAGGCCCUGCUUUUGUGGGGUGCUCGAGUGGCGAACGGGUGAGUAACACGUGAGUAACCUGCCCUUGACUUUGGGAUAACUUCAGGAAACUGGGGCUAAUACCGGAUAGGAGCUCCUGCUGCAUGGUGGGGGUUGGAAAGUUUCGGUGGUUGGGGAUGGACUCGCGGCUUAUCAGCUUGUUGGUGGGGUAGUUGCUUACCAAGGCUUUGACGGGUAGCCGGCCUGAGAGGGUGACCGGCCACAAUGGGACUGAGAUACGGCCCCGACUCCUACGGGAGGCAGCAGUGGGGAAUAUUGCACAAUGGGCGGAAGCCUGAUGCAGCAACGCCGCGUGCGGGAUGACGGCCUUCGGGUUGUAAACCGCUUUCGCCUGUGACGAAGCGUGAGUGACGGUAAUGGGUAAAGAAGCACCGGCUAACUACGUG